AUUGAACGCUGGCGGCAGGCCUAACACAUGCAAGUCGAGCGAGCGGCGGACGGGUGAGUAAUGUCUGGGAAACUGCCGGAUGGAGGGGGAUAACUAAUGGAAAGGGUAGCUAAUACCGCAUACCAUCAGAUGUGCCCAGAGGGGAUUAGCGAGUAGGUGGGGUAAUGGCUCACCUAGGCGACGAUCCCUAGCUGGUCUGAGAGGAAGACCAGCCACACUGUAACUGAGCCACUGUCCAGCCUCCUACGGGAGGCAGCAGUGGGGAAUAUUGCGCAAUGGGCGCAAGCCUGCUGCAGCCAUGCCGCGUGUAUGAAGAAGGCCUUCGGGUUGUAAAGUACUUUCAGCGAGGAGGCGUUACUCGCAGAAGAAGCACCGGCUAACUCCGUGCCAGCAGCCGCGGUAAUUC
rnacentral:rRNA from 1 species